GGAGUGCCAGGCUUGGUAUUUAUAAUAGCGAAGGCAAUAGCUAGCUUCUCACUAUGAACCGCUAAAUGGCAUUCCUUAUCCUCCUCUUCUACAUCAUGAAGGGCAGAAUCGGUCUCAGGCAUAUAACCAAACUCUUUCAUUUUCCCAACUAAUACAUCCAGCUCCUCGUAGAUCUCCUUUGACUGAGGAUGGAACUGGUCACCAGCAAGAAAGGUGUGAACAUGAUCAUUGAGCUCAACAUUGCUAAUGCCGGGUAUUUUCUUGAGUCCUUUUCUCUGCAGGAUUGAUC
rnacentral:misc_RNA from 1 species